UCGAGAAUCUUCCACAAUGGGCGCAAGCCUGAUGGAGCGAUGUCGCGUGAUUGAUGAAGUGUUUCGGCAUGUAAAGAUCUUUUCUCGAGGAGGAAGUUUAUUGACGUUACUCGAGGAAUAAGGGGUUGCUAAACUCGUGCCAGCAGCAGCGGUAAUACGAGUGCCCCAAGCGUUAUCCGGAAUUAUUGGGCGUAAAGGGUCCGCAGGCGGUUUUAUUAGUCUUGUGUGAAAUCUCCCGGCUUAACUGGGAAAACGCAUAGGAAACGGUAGAACUAGAGGAUGUGAGAGGUAUGUGGAACUCAUGGUGUAGGGGUGAAAUCCGUUGAUAUCAUGGGGAACACCGAAUGCGAAGGCAGCAUACUGGCACAUUCCUGACGCUCAGGGACGAAAGCACGGGUAGCGAAUGGGAUUAGAUACCCCAGUAGUCCGUGCCCUAAACGAUCCUGACUUGCUUUUUGGAGUAUCGACCCUCCAAGAGGCGUAGCUAACGCGUUAAGUCG
rnacentral:rRNA from 1 species